rnacentral:misc_RNA from 1 species
UGCGUUGGCAGCAGCUCGAGACGCUAAUAUAAUUAGCAUCCUGUGUACAUUUUGUGGCGAAUCUCCAGUCCCGUCCGAAGUCCCAUCUCCAGUGAGCCGAAGUCCCAUCUCCAGUGAGCCGUUGGGGGAAGACAAGCGGGACGCUAUUUUUAUUCGCGUCCAGAGUUCAUCCCACUCCCUUAUCUCCCCCUGCGCUCUCAUUUACGGCAGCCCUCAAAACGCUCGUUCAUUUCUCACUUACGCCAUUGUCUCAUUUUGGUGGAGCAGCUUACAGCCGGGUGGAGCAAGAAG